rnacentral:rRNA from 1 species
CGCCUCUUGUCACCUAUAAGAGGUACAGCCUGCCCAGUGACUCUGUUUAACGGCCGCGGUAUCCUAACCGUGCGAAGGUAGCGUAAUCACUUGUUCUUUAAAUGAGGACUAGUAUGAAUGGCAUCACGAGGGUUAUACUGUCUCCUCUCUCCGAUCAGUGAAACUAAUCUCUCCGUGAAGAAGCGGGGAUAAACAUAUAAGACGAGAAGACCCUAUGGAGCUUUAAACUAAAUUACAUUUGCUUUAUUCACAAAAAUUUAAGAAUAAUAAACUGUACCCAAGCACUCUGAUAAUAAGUUUUAGGUUGGGGUGACCGCGGAGUAAAACUUACCCUCCGCAUUGAACAAGAUUGUUUCUUUAGCUAAAAGCUACAACUUUAAGCAUCAAUAAAUUGACAUUAUUGACCCAAUAUUUUGAUCAACGAACCAAGUUACCCUAGGGAUAACAGCGCAAUCCACUUCAAGAGCCCUUAUCGACAAGUGGGUUUACGACCUCGAUGUUGGAUCAGGGUAUCCCAGUGGUGCAGCCGCUACUAAAGGUUCGUUUGUUCAACGAUUAAAACCCU